rnacentral:lncRNA from 1 species
CCAAGUCCAAAUCUGUGCUGUGUGACAUUGGAGAGUGACUUAACCUCUCUGGCCCAGUUUCCACCUGCAAAAUGGCAAUAGUAAGGCUACCUACCUCACAGAAUUCUUGUGAAGAUCAAAUAUGCAUUUAUGUUUGUAAAGGGUUUGGCACAGUGGCUGGCACGUUAUAACUGCUGUACGUGUAUUUAAGGGGGCACUUUUUCCAAUCUUGCCCUUCCGAUAACGCAUUCUUCCUCCUCUGGGGAAGCAGAGGGCGGGGAAGCAGAGGGCGGGCAGAGGGAAAGCCAGGCUUGCUCGUCUUUACCCCUCCUGGGGCGUGGGGUGGGGGGGCUCUCUCUCCUCUGUGAACGGUACUCAGUGGGGGGUAGCCCUGCCCCCUGCCCCGCCAUACUCCGCUGCCAGCCCACAAGUGCUGGGUGACGGAUGACAGGUGACGGAUGACGGGGAGGGAGAGGGAGGUCGCAGCUGUGAGGAGGAAGUGACUUUUUGGUGACUGGGAACAUCUUACGGAUGUGAUGAAGCGUGAGCUGGGUUGAUGGGGGCUCGGUCUCCACGGAUGGGGACCCGGGGCGAGCAUUUCAGGCAGAGGGACCUGGAUCAGGCCUGGAGGGAGAAGCAACCACCCCGAGAGGAGGGCCCUUCCUGUCAAGAGACGUGAGCUGGCCAGCACGGCCCUGGGGCCGGGGGAGAUGGGAGCCUUUCAAGUCCCUCCUGCUUCCGAGAUUCUGGGGUUUUGUCUUCUCCAAAACCAUUAGCCAAGGAAAUAAUGACAAUGACGAUAAAGACAGAAGUCUCCGUUUAUGGAGCAUCUGUGAUGGGCCUGGUUCUUCCCAUACUUUAUCUUUAAAAUACGCGCCACAUAGAGGAAACUGAGGCCUACAUGGGUGAAGUGGGCUGCCUCAGGUAAAGGGCAGAGCCAGGGUUCAAAUCCACAUCUAUCUGAUUCCAGCAUCUGCCUUCUCCCCAGUGCACCUGGGAAGGCCCCCGGGGUUUGGGAGAGAGGAAAGGUAUCCACUAUGUACGUGCUCUUCUCUAGCUUGGAGCCCUGCUGGGCGCUGGGGCGUGGUGCAGAUGGGCGCCCAGGUCUGUUCGUGGCCUGGGGUCUGAGGAGCCGAGACAGGUGUGGUCACCCACACUUCAGGGUCAUCUGAAAUGUGACACCCAGUUGUUGCCGGAGAGCCCGGAACGGGUGGCCUGGCAGAGACGGAACUGUGGCCCAGGGACCAGUCAGGGGCUCCCCGAGGCGGCCUCGUGCUUGAUGAGGGACAGGCCAGCAGGUGUAUUCUUGGGCUGGAGCAUGAAGGCUGUGGCUUCUAGGUGA